rnacentral:lncRNA from 1 species
ACGUGGGCCUCCAUGCUGGACGAGGUCACAAUGAUGGGACAACCUCGUCACAGGUCUUCGUCCGAUGACGUGUGGGACGAAGGGUGAGCCUGUCUGUUGUCUUGUCUCCAUUGGUCCGACGAUUACAGCGAAGGCAUCGAGCGAAGGGUGGCGUCUUCGCCUUCGCCCCAACAGUGUGCAACCUCUGCAGUGUGUUAGAAACUGGUAUAUCAGCCGUGCUCACGGUUAAGAGCAGCCUUGGGAUCCUCUUUGAUUAGAAGAACUUUGGUUACUUUUAGGAUGAUGAUUAACAAUGGUGAUUAUAAUUCUGAUCUCUGGUAUUUCCUCUUAGAGGGAGUACUCCUGGGUAAUAACUGGGUUAUUACUAAAAUUUGGCUCUACUUAUAGUAAUAAAACUUGACCAACUAAAAGCAACUGCUUAACCUAAACUCCACAUACAGCUAGUCCACUUUAUGCCAAACGAGACAUUUGCUGAGUACGUUGAAGUGUACUCACCCUUGCUUUACAAACCACCCCACCCCAGGUUGUCUCCACUGUACUCAGUGCUCAGGAGGUGAAGCUGGCAAUAUGGAGGACUUCGAGGAGUUCCAGGACUACGACGAGUUCUAGUUUACUUUAGUGGCAAACCCACAGUCAGUUGCUUGUGUAGGCUUUCUUCUAUGUUUCAUUACUCCGCACUUUGAUGUUAAUGUUAAACACUGUGGAUAUGUAUUAGACUCUAUGGAUGUCUCAGACAUCCUGAUGUAAUUAAGUACCUUUCCGUUAUUUAAUUCGAGCAUUGUGUGAUGAUGUCCAAUUAUGUAAUCGUUGUGUACGUGAGUUCUGAUCCUGGCACAUACAUGGUUCGCAUUCGGUUUACCUUCCAAAACCGGGUGUGACAUACAUGGACGGUGGGCUAAUUCCCAAAAAGAGCAGGGGCUCUUAUGUAAGAAUUCCCAGUCGAAGGGGUAUUGUGCGCUCAGAGCCGCACGAUUAGAAUCUAGCGCGCCAGAUCAGAUCUUGAUCGGUCACCGAGUGAAGCCAUUGGAUUCAGAUCCGACGGCCCUGAUUAAAAGGUUGAAGGACUAUUCUGGGUUCUCAUCCGCACCACACAUUAGUGAUCCUACGGUUUGAUUCUAACUCCUCGAUAGGGUUUGUGAUGACCGAUUCAUGUCCGUCCGUUACCGGAUCUACGACCAGUAUUGAAUGGGUAUCCUAUGCUCUAAUUAGAGCCAUCCAUGGCCGGAUCAACGCCCCUGACAAUUCUUCCCCACCCAAGCACAUCAGGCGGUGGUGCUGGCCUCCCCCGCGGCGUCGACCAUCGACCAGAGAAGCCCGACACAGCCCCUAGAGCACCCAAACCAUCAUUAUUACACGCUACGCAACACAGUGAACAGAACAAAUCAAUCUCAAAGCUUCUUACCUACAAUGGUGUUGCGACGCAUACCGCCCUCGGAGUAGUGUGGCCCACGACGGCGCCAUUGCUCCGUUGAGCGAUUUGGCCAAGCACGCCACAAAAUCCCCGCACCGCAGACCAUGCACACGACCUACGCUCCCUGGUGAACAUGUACGAUCCCCAUACAAGGCUGAAUGAUGACCGAUGCGUGAAGUGGCUGCGGCGGUCAGAUUCUCUCACAUCUCACCAUGGUGCCCGGUAAUGAUGUCUCCUUGCUCACGGCGAGCAACUCCAGUUCCUG